rnacentral:rRNA from 1 species
UACAGAGGAGCCAAGCGUUGUCCGGAUUGACUGGGCGUAAAGCGCACGCAGGCGGCACCGCGCGUGGGGUGUGAAAUCUGGCCGCUUAACGGCCAGGCGCCAUCCCAUACGGCGGAGCUGGAGUGAUGCAGAGGUCGGUGGAAUUGCCGGUGUAGUGGUGAAAUGCGUAGAGAUCGGCAGGAACAUCAGUGGCGAAAGCGACUUCCUGGACCAGUACCGACGUUCAGGCACGAAAGCGUGGGGAGCAAACAGG